GUGUUGGGCUUGUUGCGGGCAGAUAAAGUGAAUGUGGGUAUCAAUUCCCCCUGCUGUCGCAAUUAAAUUAGCGCCAUUAUGGACUUCUGUACUGACACCGAUAAUCAUAUUUGGGGUAACGCCGUCCAUUGUAUCGGGAUUACCGGCUUGACCUAUGCCAACGAUUCGCCCGUCACGAAUACCAAUAUCUGCUUUGAUAAUGCCAAGUUUCGCAUCAAUAAUCAUCACAUUAGUGAUGACAAGAUCAAGGACAUUGGGAUUAUCACGCGUUGCCGUACCGGAUUGUGCCAUACCGUCGCGGACAC
rnacentral:sRNA from 1 species